rnacentral:tRNA from 1 species
AGGGCCUUAGGUUAGCAUUAGACCAAGAGCCUUCAAAGCCCUAAGCGAGAGUGAAAUUCUCCCAGGCCCUG